rnacentral:misc_RNA from 1 species
ACAAACUUGGUCAUUUAGAGGAAGUAAAAGUCGUAACAAGGUUUCCGUAGGUGAACCUGCGGAAGGAUCAUUACCAACCUUUGGUGAGCCUUGGACUUUUCCAUGGUCUCGCGAAAUCUUGUAUUUAAAACCCGCUCAUAUAACUAAAAACAUGUAGUAAUAUGAUAACUAAAGAUCACUUUCAACAACGGAUCUCUUGGCUCUCUUAGAGGAAGUAAAAGUCGUAACAAGGUUUCCGUAGGUGAACCUGCGGAAGGAUCAUUACCAACCUUUGGUGAGCCUUGGACUUUUCCAUGGUCUCGCGAAAUCUUGUAUUUAAAACCCGCUCAUAUAACUAAAAACAUGUAGUAAUAUGAUAACUAAAGAUCACUUUCAACAACGGAUCUCUUGGCUCUCGCAUCGAUGAAGAACGCAGC